rnacentral:lncRNA from 1 species
ACACAUUUAAUUUAAUAACACCCCCUCAUCAUUCUAGUCACACCCCCUAGACACAUUAAAUUCAACCAAAUGCCCAAAGUGCCUCUAUCUAUGAUCAUAUUCAAGUUUCAAAACACUUUUCUCUCUUAUCCAUGUUCAAAUUGUAGUGAUUUUUUUAAUUUAUUACUAUUAUGCGAUCUUUGACGUACAACAUGAACAAAUUCAUUGACGUACAACAUGAACAAAUUCUUCAUCAAAGUAACUGUUGAUAGGUAAAUACACUGCUACAAAUUCUCAGUUCAUAUUUCUCUUAAGUGGUAGAGAGCUUCCUAGAGUAAACGAUAUACAUGGGAUCAGAGCGUCCGGGAUUUGGAGAUAUAUCCACAGCCUACAAAAAGAAAAGACAUUGGCCUCAGCAUUGGUAACACUGUCACAUGAUAACAUCAUAUACAACAUUGUAGAGGCUUUCAUAUUUGUUUCAUGACUAGUAAAAGAAAAUUCUGUUUAAUAUAUAGGGAAAACAAGAGGUUGAAUUAAUUACCCUUCAGCAGUACCUUAAACUAUACUAUUUAGUAUGUUAUAACUGAAGUUUGUCCUAACAAAAUGGGAAAAUAUCAGUGAGAUUUACCUGAGGAGGUUCAAAUCCUCCAGCAUAAUGAAAAUACGACCCAACAAUCAUAACGUGAUCAGCAUCUCCAGUUGAAGUCCAUAUAGAAAUGGCCUUUGUAAAGAAGCAUCGGUUUGAGAAGCUGGAAUCAUUCAUCCUUAGUUGAGUAGGAUAUUGUAAGAUAUACAAGACCAAUAAUAGAUAUAACAUUGUAAAAUAGAGAAAUGUUAUUACUGAAAAGAUAUGAUCGCAUAUCAUGUUCAUUGCGUGAACCAUGCCCUGAGAAGUAGAAUAGGAUAUGAUCGCCCGACAUAGAAUUAUGUAGCAUGUCCUUCAAUUCAAAUCGUUCAUUAUACAUUGUGAACGGUUGAUAAGAUACGGACCGUUAUCCGUCACAAAGAUAAUAUUUUCUUCUUGAAACCCAUAUGAUUUAAUCAAUGAAAGUUUCAAAAGUUCGGCAUAUUUCACAUAACACAAUCUAUUGAACAUGUUCUGCGGAAACUCAGAGUGUAGUAUUCUUCCUACUGUUAUUACUGGUACUUACGCAAAUUAAUAAAUUUUAUUGAAUUUAUGUUUCAAUGUCUGGAUAUCAUUUAAAUUAUUUCAUUUUCUUUGCAGAAAAAGAUUUAAAUUCUUGUGCGGUCUUGUUACCGGAUUCGGUAUUUUUAACAGUGACAAUGGAUUGUUGCUAUAGUGGCGGGGUUUUUUAAAUCGAUAAAACAACAGGUACUCUGUAAGCCAAGAAGAGGGUUUGGCGCUAUUUCAGAGUUUACAUAUUUUCAAAAGCUACUCGAUAGGCCAAGAGGGUUAGGGGAAGUUCCACAUUUUCAAAGUGAAGCAGAUUUUGAAAGUGAAGACAAUGGAACACAAUGGAAACGAAUAUGCUUUAUUUCCUCGUCUGACAGAAAUCAAGUUUCAUACGACAGUAAAAGAAUAUUUCGAGAAUGCAUUUCCGCUUUUUCCGACGCUCUAUUAAGCUGCAUGGGCAGGGAAGGAGACCUCAGCAAUUUUGAAUUGACGAGGGAGAUAAACAACAUUUUAGCUUAUACUUGCUCAAUUCAAACGGCUUGUCUAAAGUGUGAUAACAAUUUAUCACCUAAAUUGUUUCUAGAUGGAAAAGAAAAGAAUUAAUAGCAAUGAAGUAUAUGCCUCGUGGUUUGAACUAUAGAUCAAUGAUGUUCGUGAUGUGACCUGGUGGUAGGAUGUUUUGUAAGAUGUUUUGUGCUUGAGAUGUCAUUAACAUGUGGUUUUGUGCUUGAGAUGUCAUUAACAUGUGGUUUGAUGCUGUGGAUUCAUCGAAAAAGUCUCUAAAUUAGUUGAUGAUUUCUAAAUAAAUCUUUAAACUUAAAGAUUUUAAUUUUGUCCCUAAAAUUUGAAUAAUUUAUAAUUAGAUUUUUAAAUUUAGGAUAUAAUUAUAAAUUAUAGAGUAUUAGAAACCUAAUUAUAAUAUUUUUUGUUACAAAAAGCUACUUAAAAUUCUCUAACUAGUUUAAUCAAAGCCUAAAAAACUAGUUUAAUCAAAAGGAAAAUGUUCAAACCUAUGUUUACUGAGCCCACAUAUGAAUUGUUUUCAAAACACAUUUAAUUUAAUAACACCCCCUCAUCAUUCUAGUCACACCCCCUAGACACAUUAAAUUCAACCAAAUGCCCAAAGUGCCUCUAUCUAUGAUCAUAUUCAAGUUUCAAAACACUUUUCUCUCUUAUCCAUGUUCAAAUUGUAGUGAUUUUUUUAAUUUAUUACUAUUAUGCGAUCUUUGACGUACAACAUGAACAAAUUCAUUGACGUACAACAUGAACAAAUUCUUCAUCAAAGUAACUGUUGAUAGGUAAAUACACUGCUACAAAUUCUCAGUUCAUAUUUCUCUUAAGUGGUAGAGAGCUUCCUAGAGUAAACGAUAUACAUGGGAUCAGAGCGUCCGGGAUUUGGAGAUAUAUCCACAGCCUACAAAAAGAAAAGACAUUGGCCUCAGCAUUGGUAACACUGUCACAUGCUAACAUCAUAUACAACAUUGUAGAGGCUUUCAUAUUUGUUUCAUGACUAGUAAAAGAAAAUUCUGUUUAAUAUAUAGGGAAAACAAGAGGUUGAAUUAAUUACCCUUCAGCAGUACCUUAAACCAUACUAUUUAGUAUGUUAUAACUGAAGUUUGUCCUAACAAAAUGGGAAAAUAUCAGUGAGAUUUACCUCAGGAGGUUCAAAUCCUCCAGCAUAAUGAAAAUACGAUCCAACAAUCAUAACGUGAUCAGCAUCUCCAGUUGAAGUCCAUAUAGAAAUGGCCUUUGUAAAGAAGCAUCGGUUUGAGAAGCUGGAAUCAUUCAUCCUUAGUUGAGUAGGAUAUUGUAAGAUAUACAAGACCAAUAAUAGAUAUAACAUUGUAAAAUAGAGAAAUGUUAUUACUGAAAAGAUAUGAUCGCAUAUCAUGUUCAUUGCGUGAACCAUGCCCUGAGAAGUAGAAUAGGAUAUGAUCGCCCGACAUAGAAUUAUGUAGCAUGUCCUUCAAUUCAAAUCGUUCAUUAUACAUUGUGAACGGUUGAUAAGAUACGGACCGUUAUCCGUCACAAAGAUAAUAUUUUCUUCUUGAAACCCAUAUGAUUUAAUCAAUGAUUUAAUCAAUGAAAGUUUCAAAAGUUCGGCAUAUUUCACAUAACACAAUCUAUUGUACAUGUUCUGUGGAAACUCAGAGUGUAGUAUUCUUCCUACUGUUAUUACUGGUACUUACGCAAAUUAAUAAAUUUUAUUGAAUUUAUGUUUCAAUGUCUGGAUAUCAUUUAAAUUAUUUCAUUUUCUUUGCAGAAAAAGAUUUAAAUUCUUGUGCGGUCUUGUUACCGGAUUCAAUAUUUUUAACAGUGACAAUGGAUUGUUGCUAUAGUGGUGGGUUUUUUAAAUCGAUAAAACAACAGGUACUCUGUAAGCCAAGAAGAGGGUUUGGCGUUAUUUCAGAUUUUACAGAUUUUCAAAAGCUACUCGAUAGGCCAAGAGGGUUAGGCGAAGUUCCACAUUUUCAAAGUGAAGCAGAUUUUGAAAGUGAAGACAAUGGAACACAGUGGAAACGAAUAUGCUUUAUUUCCUCGUCUGACAGAAAUCAAGUUUCAUACGACAGUAAAAGAAUAUUUCGAGAAUGCAUUUCCGCUUUUUCCGACGCUCUAUUAAGCUGCAUGGGCAGGGAAGGAGACCUCAACAAUUUUGAAUUGACGAGGGAGAUAAACAACAUUUUAGCUUAUACUUGCUCAAUUCAAACGGCUUGUCUAAAGUGUGAUAAUAAUUUAUCACCUAAAUUGUUUCUAGAUGGAAAAGAAAAGAAUUAAUAGCAAUGAAGUAUAUGCCUCGUGUUUUGAACUAUAGAUCAAUGAUGUUCGUGAUGUGACCUGGUGGUAGGAUGUUUUGUAAGAUGUUUUGUGCUUGAGAUGUCAUUAACAUGUGGUUUGAUGAUGUGGAUUCAUCGAAAAAGUCUCUAAAUUAGUUGAUGAUUUCUAAAUAAAUCUUUAAACUUAAAGAUUUUAAUUUUGUCCCUAAAAUUUGAAUAAUUUAUAAUUAGAUUUUUAAAUUUAGGAUCUAAUUAUAAAUUAUAGAGUAUUAGAAACCUAAUUAUAAUAUUUUUUGUUACAAAAAGCUACUUAAAAUUCUCUACAAAGUUUAAUCAAAGCCUAAAAAACUAGUUUAAUCAAAAGGAAAAUGUUCAAACCUAUGUUUACUGAGCCCACAUAUGAAUUGUUUUCAAAACACAUUUAAUUUAAUAACACCCCCUCAUCAUUCUAGUCACACCCCCUAGACACAUUAAAUUCAACCAAAUGCCCAAAGUGCCUCUAUCUAUGAUCAUAUUCAAGUUUCAAAACACUUUUCUCUCUUAUCCAUGUUCAAAUUGUAGUGAUUUUUUUAAUUUAUUACUAUUAUGCGAUCUUUGACGUACAACAUGAACAAAUUCAUUGACGUACAACAUGAACAAAUUCUUCAUCAAAGUAACUGUUGAUAGGUAAAUACACUGCUACAAAUUCUCAGUUCAUAUUUCUCUUAAGUGGUAGAGAGCUUCCUAGAGUAAACGAUAUACAUGGGAUCAGAGCGUCCGGGAUUUGGAGAUAUAUCCACAGCCUACAAAAAGAAAAGACAUUGGCCUCAGCAUUGGUAACACUGUCACAUGAUAACAUCAUAUACAACAUUGUAGAGGCUUUCAUAUUUGUUUCAUGACUAGUAAAAGAAAAUUCUGUUUAAUAUAU